CAAGUUUCUGAGGUAUCGCCUUUGUUGAUGGACAAUGUCUUCUUAUGAUUAACCUUGCUUUGUUCUUCUUUGAACUUGUCAAAGGCCUUAAUGUUUAGAUGUUGCUUUGGUGGUUUUGAUUUGAUAGUGGUUUUUGGGUUCAAUUUUGGUGUUUCUAAGAGCACUUCUUUCACUUUCUCUUCCUCUACUUGAAAGCUUGUUCCAUUGUUUUGUGUAGGUUUUGGUGGUUGAAUAGUUGGUACAGAAGAGGUUGAGGUUUUAUUACUGCUCACACAGCAACCCAUUUAGCUUUCUUUUACAGGUAAAAAAUACUGAACCAGGUUGAGGACAGAUUCAAGGGUUAUGGGAUUUGCGCAAAGAGGUAGCUUUCAUUAUAAAGAGUGCAUUCUAUAAUUAGAGGGACAUGUAGCAAUGUUAGUUGAAAAGAGUGUGUGUUUUGGUGGUUGUGGAAGGGAGUGCAUUUAUUGGGACAUUUCUACCAGAAUUGGGGUGGGGAAGAAUAUAUUUUAAGCCAUUAAAUAGUUACAGGAAUUUGAUUUAUUUUUUUUAUCAAACUAAGAGAGAGC
rnacentral:lncRNA from 1 species